AUGUCUCCCUGCUUCCCAGCUCCACCUGCAUCCUAUUUUCCCUGUAUCCCAUUUUCCCUGAAUCCCAUUUUCCCUGCAUCCCAUCUCUCCUCUAUCCUGUUAUUCCCACACUUCCCAUCUCCUCGGCUUCCCGUUUUUCCCCGUAUCCCGUUUUCCCUGUAUCCUUUCUCCCCUGUAUCCCGUUUUCCCUGCUCCGCCUGUAUCCCAUUUUCUUGUUCUUCACAUUUUCCCUGUAUCCCAUUUUCCCUGUAUCCUGUUUUUCCCUGCAUCCCAUCUCCUCUUUCAUCCCAUUUUCCCUGCAUCCCAUCUCUCCUCUAUCCCGUUUUCCCACACUUCCCAUCUCCCCCUGUAUCCCGUUUUCCCAUGUCUCCCAUCUUCCCCUGCAUCCCGUUUUUCCCUGUAUCCCAUUUUCCCGCUCUUCCCAUGUCUCCCUGCUUCCCAGCUCCACCUGUAUCCUAUUUUCCCUGUAUCCCAUUUUCCCUGUAUCCCAUUUUCCCUGAAUCCCAUCUCUCCUCUAUCCCGUUAUUCCCACACUUCCCAUCUCCUCGGCUUCCCGUUUUCCCCUGUAUACCAUCUCCUCUUUCAUCCCAUUUUCCCAUCCCAUCCCAUUUUCCCAUCCCAUUUUCCCAUCCCAUUUUCCCAUCCCAUCCCAUUUUCCCAUCCCAUCCCAUUUUCCCAUCCCAUCCUCCCGUUUUCCCUGAAUCCCAUCUCUCCUCUAUCCCAUUCUCCCACACUUCCCAUCUCCUCGGCUUCCCGUUUUUCCCUGUAUCCCGUUUUCCCUGUAUCCCGUUUUCCCUGUAUCCCAUUCUCCCACGCUUCCCAUCUCCUCGGCUUCCCGUUUUCCCUGAAUCCCAUCUCUCUUCUAUCCCAUUCUCCCGCUCUUCCCAUCUCCUCGGCUUCCCAUUUUCCCUGUAUCCCAUUUUCCCACCUCUCCCCGUGUCCCAUCUCCUCCCCGCUUUCCCACGUAUCCCGCUUUCCCAGCUUCCCAUUUUCCCUGAAUCCCACUUUUCCCUGCUUCCCAUCUCCUCUUUCAUCCCAUUUUCCACCUGUAUCCCAUUUUCCCGUUUUCCCUGUAUCCCGUUUUCCACCUGUAUCCCGUUUUCCCUGUUCCCGUUUUCCCUGUAUCCCGUUUUCCCUGUAUCCCGUUUUCCACCUGUAUCCCGUUUUCCCUUUAUCCCAUUUUCCCAGCUUCCCGUUUUCCCUGAAUCCCACUUUUCCCUGCUCCCAUCAUCACCUGUAUCCCAUUUUCCACCUGUAUCCCGUUUUUCCUGUAGCUCUUCCUUCCCUCCGGAGCCAUCCCAGCCCCAUCCAAGGCUCCUUCCUGGUGCUUCCCACUUUUCCCGCCGGGAAAUCCCGGGAUUUUUGCCGGGAGGGAUUUUUUUGGGGCCCGACUCCGGAGUUUUCCAAGGGAUUCCCUGGGAUCCGCAUUCCCGAAGCCCCGCGCUGGGUGAGGGGGUCCCGGAGUUCGGCUGGAUCCCGCGGGAUCCAGCCGGGAUCCGAUCCCAGCCUCGGGAAAAGCCUCGGGAAUGGGAGCGGGAGCCGCUUCCCAAAAUUCCGGGCAGCUGGGAAAAGCGGGAUGAGCUCCCGGGCUGGGGGGAGGUGGAAAGUUCGGGAAUUCGGGAAUUCCGAGCGCCGGGAAUCACCCGGGAUCUGCCGGAAUUUUCCCGGAGAAGGGAAUUGGGAAUGUUUGGGAUCCCUUGGGGCAUUCCAGGGAUUCCAAGGGCGAUGCGGAUCACCGGGAUGGGGAUGUCCAGGGAAUGUCGGGAUCGGGGAAGCCCCGGGGGAUGCGGGAAUGUCCCAGGGACAUCCCGGGAAUGGAAUCGGGAAGGAUUUGGGAAUCUCGGGGGUGCUCCAGGUGGGAAUUCCCGGCAGCCGGAAGCCAAUCCCAACCUCCAGCUUUUCCAAGGGCCGGAAUCCUUUUGGCUUUUUCCCGGAAAUCCGGGAAUUUUCCGGGUGGGAUAUCCGGCAGUUCCUCCACCCAGGAAGGCGGAAAAACCGGGAUAACCGGCAGGGGGGAAGAAAAAAUUCCCGAAGAAAAUUUUUCCAUGGAAAAUCCCGCUGGUUCCGCCGAGUUUUCCCUCGGGAUGGAUCCCGGGAAGGAUCCCGGAAAGGAUCCCGGGAAGGAUCCCGGGAAUGUUGGGAUCACGGAGAGCCCGUUUGAGGAAGCGGCAGAAAAAAAGGGAAGAGGAAGAGGCCGAGGAUCCCGACAUUCCUGGUCCCGGAGCUGAUCCCGUAGCGGAUCCCCGGAUCCCGGAGCAGAUCCCUGGGUCCCCGGGUGGAUCCUUGAGCAGAUCCCCAGACCCCUGAGCUGAUCCCCGAGAGGAUCCCCAGAUCCCAGAGCGGAUCCCCGGGUCCCGGAGCAGAUCCCUGGGUCCCCGGGUGGAUCCUUGAGCAGAUCUCCAGACCCCUGAGCUGAUCCCCGGCUCCCUGGGCGGAUCCCGUAGUGGAUCCCAUAGUAGAUCCCGGAUCCCGGAGCAGAUCCCUGAGCGGAUUCCGGGGUCCCCGAGUGGAUCCCAUAGCGGAUCCCCAGAUCCCCCCCCCGGAUUCUCAUUCCCAUCCCCGGCAGCAAUUCCCGAGCUCCGGCAGCGCCUCCCCCACAGGAGGAGAUGCGCAAUUCCCACGCUCCGGGAUCCGGAGGGAUCCGGGGGGAUCCGGGGGGAUCCGGGGGGAUCCGCCAGGCCGGGAAUCUCCCGGGCUGUGUGUGGGGUGUGGGAGAGAGGAUCCCCGAAAAUUCCCGCUGGGAAUCUCGGGGCGGUUGG
rnacentral:lncRNA from 1 species